CACGUAGGGCGCAAGCGUUGUCCGGAAUUAUUGGGCGUAAAGAGCUCGUAGGCGGACUGUCACGUCUGCUGUGAAAAGCUGGGGCUUAACCCUGGCCUUGCAGCGGAUACGGGCAGACUAGAGGUAGGUAGGGGAGAAUGGAAUUCCCGGUGUAGCGGUGAAAUGCGCAGAUAUCGGGAGGAACACCGGUGGCGAAGGCGGUUCUCUGGGCCUUACCUGACGCUGAGGAGCGAAAGCGUGGGGAGCGAACAGG
rnacentral:rRNA from 1 species